rnacentral:tRNA from 1 species
GGACCUCUAGCUCAAUUGGUUAGAGCAUCCGGCUCAUAACCGGGCGGUUCAGGGUUCAAGUCCCUGGAGGUCCACCA